rnacentral:rRNA from 1 species
GACGAACGCUGGCGGCGUGCUUAACACAUGCAAGUCGAACGGAAAGGCCCUGCUUUUGUGGGGUGCUCGAGUGGCGAACGGGUGAGUAACACGUGAGUAACCUGCCCUUGACUUUGGGAUAACUUCAGGAAACUGGGGCUAAUACCGGAUAGGAGCUCCUGCUGCAUGGUGGGGGUUGGAAAGUUUCGGCGGUUGGGGAUGGACUCGCGGCUUAUCAGCUUGUUGGUGGGGUAGUGGAUUACCAAGGCUUUGACGGGUAGCCGGCCUGAGAGGGUGACCGGCCACAUUGGGCCUGCGAUACGGCCCAGACUCCUACGGGAGGCAGCAGUGGGGAAUAUUGCACAAUGGGCGGAAGCCUGAUGCAGCAACGCCGCGUGCGGGAUGACGGCCUUCGGGUUGUAAACCGCUUUCGCCUGUGACGAAGCGUGAGUGACGGUAAUGGGUAAAGAAGCACCGGCUAACUACGUG